CCUACGGGCGGCUGCAGUGGGGAAUAUUGGACAAUGGGGGCAACCCUUAUCCAGCCAUGCCGCGUGUGUGAAGAAGGCCCUCGGGUUGUAAAGCACUUUCAGUGAGGAAGAACGCCUGGUGGUUAAUACCCAUCAGGAAAGACAUCACUCACAGAAGAAGCACCGGCUAACUCCGUGCCAGCAGCCGCGGUAAUACGGAGGGUGCGAGCGUUAAUCGGAAUUACUGGGCGUAAAGCGCGCGUAGGUGGCUUGAUAAGCCGGUUGUGAAAGCCCCGGGCUCAACCUGGGAACGGCAUCCGGAACUGUCAAGCUAGAGUGCAGGAGAGGAAGGUAGAAUUCCCGGUGUAGCGGUGAAAUGCGUAGAGAUCGGGAGGAAUACCAGUGGCGAAGGCGGCCUUCUGGACUGACACUGACACUGAGGUGCGAAAGCGUGGGUAGCAAACAGGAUUAGAUACCCGAGUAGUC
rnacentral:rRNA from 1 species